GGUGAACUCAAUGAAGGCG
rnacentral:snRNA from 1 species